UACGGAGGGGGCUAGCGUUGUUCGGAAUUACUGGGCGUAAAGCGUACGUAGGCGGCUUUGUAAGUUAGAGGUGAAAGCCCGGGGCUCAACUCCGGAAUUGCCUUUAAGACUGCAUCGCUAGAAUUGUGGAGAGGUAAGUGGAAUUCCGAGUGUAGAGGUGAAAUUCGUAGAUAUUCGGAAGAACACCAGUGGCGAAGGCGACUUACUGGACACAUAUUGACGCUGAGGUGCGAAAGCGUGGGGAGCAAACAGG
rnacentral:rRNA from 1 species